rnacentral:rRNA from 1 species
CCUACGGGUGGCUGCAGUGGGGAAUAUUGGACAAUGGGCGAAAGCCUGAUCCAGCCAUGCCGCGUGUGUGAAGAAGGCCUUCGGGUUGUAAAGCACUUUCAGUGGGGAAGAAAGCCUUGGGGCUAGUACCCUCGAGGAAGGACAUCACCCACAGAAGAAGCACCGGCUAACUCCGUGCCAGCAGCCGCGGUAAUACGGAGGGUGCGAGCGUUAAUCGGAAUUACUGGGCGUAAAGCGCGCGUAGGCGGUCUGAUAAGCCGGUUGUGAAAGCCCCGGGCUCAACCUGGGAACGGCAUCCGGAACUGUCAGGCUAGAGUGCAGGAGAGGAAGGUAGAAUUCCCGGUGUAGCGGUGAAAUGCGUAGAGAUCGGGAGGAAUACCAGUGGCGAAGGCGGCCUUCUGGACUGACACUGACGCUGAGGUGCGAAAGCGUGGGUAGCAAACAGGAUUAGAUACCCUGGUAGUC